rnacentral:rRNA from 1 species
UACGUAGGGGGCUAGCGUUGUCCGGAUUUAUUGGGCGUAAAGAGCGUGUAGGCGGCCAGGUAGGUCUGGCGUGAAAACUCGAGGCUUAACCUCGAGAUGUCAUCGGAAACCAUCUGGCUAGAGUCCGGAAGAGGAGAGUGGAAUUCCUGGUGUAGCGGUGAAAUGCGCAGAUAUCAGGAAGAACACCAAUGGCGAAAGCAGCUCUCUGGGACGGUACUGACGCUGAGACGCGAAAGCGUGGGGAGCGAACAGG